rnacentral:rRNA from 1 species
UGAAUACGAGAUGCUACGGCGUCGAAGCAGUGUAUGUCAGACUUCCAAGAAAAGCUCGCAAUGUCAUAAAUAAAGAAUGCCUGUACCAUAACCGACACAGGUGGGUAGGUAGAGUAUACUAAGGGGCGCGAGAUAACUCUCUCUAAGGAACUCGGCAAAAUAACUCCGUAACUUCGGGAGAAGGAGUGCCUUCUUUAAGAAGGUUGCAAUAACAAGAUCCAAGCAACUGUUUAUCAAAAACACAGGUCUCCGCUAAGUCGUAAGACGAUGUAUGGGGGCUGACGCCUGCCCAGUGCCAGAAGGUUAAAGAAGUUGGUUAGCUUUUGCGAAGCUGAUGACUGAAGCCCUGGUGAACGGCGGCCGUAACAAUAACGGUCCUAAGGUAGCGAAAUUCCUUGUCGGGUAAGUUCCGACCCGCACGAAAGGCGUAAUGAUUUGGAUACUGUCUCGGAGAGGGACUCGGUGAAAUAGACUUGUCUGUGAAGAUGCGGACUACCUGCACCAGGACAGAAAGACCCUAUGAAGCUUUACUGUAACUUGAAAUUGAAAUUGGACUUUAUUUGCGCAGUAUAGGUGGAAGGCGUUGAAAGUAAUCUUGCGGGAUUAGUGGAGCCAUCAGUGGGAUACCACUCCUAUAAUGUUAGAUUUCUAACUUUGGAUCAUGAUCUGGUCAAAGAACAGUUUCAGGCGGGCAGUUUGACUGGGGCGGUCGCCUCCCAAAUGGUAACGGAGGCGUACAAAGGUUUCCUCUGAACGGGUAGAAAUCGUAUCUAGAGUGUAAAGGCAUAAGGAAGCUUGACUGUGAGACCUACAAGUCGAGCAGGGACGAAAGUCGGUCUUAGUGAUCUGACGGUGCUGAGUGGAAAGGCCGUCACUCAACGGAUAAAAGUUACUCUAAGGAUAACAGGCUGAUCUCCCCCAAGAGUUCACAUCGACGGGGAGGUUUGGCACCUCGAUGUCGGCUCAUCGCAUCCUGGGGCGGUAGUACGUCCCAAGGGUUGGGCUGUUCGCCCAUGAAAGCGGUACGCGAGCUGGGUUCAGAACGUCGUGAGACAGUUCGGUCCAUAUCCGGUGUAGGCGUUAGAAUAUUGAGAGGAGCCUUCUUUAGUACGAGAGGACCGAGAAGGACAUACCUCUGGUGUACCAGUUAUCGUGCCAACGGUAAACGCUGGGUAGCUAUGUAUGGAGAGGAUAACCGCUGAAAGCAUCUAAGUGGGAAGCCCACCUCAAGAUGAG